rnacentral:rRNA from 1 species
CGGGGGGUGCAAGCGUUGUUCGGAAUCAUUGGGCGUAAAGCGCGUGCAGGUGGCUUUGCAAGUCAGAUGUGAAAGCCCAGGGCUUAACCCUGGAAGUGCAUUUGAAACUGCUCAGCUUGAGUAUGGAAGAGGGUCGUGGAAUUCCAGGUGUAGUGGUGAAAUACGUAGAUAUCUGGAGGAACACCGGUGGCGAAGGCGGCGACCUGGUCCAAUACUGACACUCAUACGCGAAAGCGUGGGGAUCAAACAGGAUUAGAUACCCUGGUAGUCCACGCUGUAAACGAUGGAUACUUGAUGUUGAAGGUAUUGACCCCUUCAGUGUCGAAGCUAACGCGUUAAGUAUCCCGCCUGGGGAGUACGGUCGCAAGAUUA